GAUGAAGAACGUAGCGAAAUGCGAUAAGUAAUGUGAAUUGCAGAAUUCAGUGAAUCAUCGAAUCUUUGAACGCACAUUGCGCCCGCCAGUAUUCUGGCGGGCAUGCCUGUUCGAGCGUCAUUUCAACCAUCAAGCCCCCGGCUUGUGUUGGGGACCUGCGGCUGCCGCAGGCCCUGAAAAGCAGUGGCGGGCUCGCUGUCACACCGAGCGUAGUAGCAUACAUCUCGCUCUGGGCGUGCUGCGGGUUCCGGCCGUUAAACCACCUUCAUAACCCAAGGUUGACCUCGGAUCACGUAGGAAGACCCGCUGAACUUAAGCAUAUCAAUAAGCGGAGGA
rnacentral:misc_RNA from 1 species